rnacentral:rRNA from 2 species
UUAAAUUCAGCGGGUCAUCUCGUCUGAUCUGAGGUCG